rnacentral:lncRNA from 10 species
UCAGGUACAAUCAAAAACAAUAAAGAUACUUCCGGUGAUUAAAUGGUAGGACUAUCAGGUGACGCCAUCCCAUAGGCAGGUGGGAAAGACGGGAGUAGAGCCUAGAAGAGGCCACAGGACCAACACCGGGAGCUGCCCGCAGAGAAUUGAGGACUGAAGUGGCCAUAAACGCCAAGCUCUGCAAGGGAGUGACCACAGAGAGAAAAGAGCAGAGGGUGGACCAUGAAAUCCUCAGGAGAACCUUGGAAAGGGGAACAGGGAAGAACUGAUGUGAAGAUGCCAGAUGGGGGGUGGGGACCUGAGCUAGGCAGGUCUCCAAAGUGAGUGGAGGCAGCAGUGUCAGGGGAAGGGAAGUCCACACCACAUCCUACACACGCGAUGUCAACAAAGUCAGAGAAGAGGUGAGGAGCCAAAGACCCUACAAUGUCACUGGGUUCAGCUGGGAAGUUGGUGUUGAUUAGAAGAGAGUACUUUGGCGGACUGAGGG